rnacentral:rRNA from 1 species
UAGUUAAGGUCUUGAAACUCAAAGAAUUUGGCGGUGUUUUAGUCUAUUCAGAGGAAUCUGUUCCGUAAUUGAUAAUUCACGAAUUAUGAGGCUUAAUUUUGUAAAGUACAGUUUGUAUACCGCCGUCAUCAGAUUAUUUUUAUAGAAUGUGAAUUUUCUUGGAGUUAUAUGAGAAAGUAUGUCAGGUCAAGGUGCAAUUUAUGGUUAAGAGGAAAUGGGUUACAAUAAAUUUAUUUAUAACGGAUUUUAAGAUGAAUAAGUUAAUUGAAGGUGGAUUUGAUAGUAAUGUUGUAUAGAUUUAUAAUUUGAUUUUAGCUCUAAAACAUGCACAUAUCGCCCGUCGCUCUCGUUUGGUAAAGUGAGAUAAGUCGUAACAUAGUAGACGUACUGGAAAGUGUGUCUAGAAAGA